AUGAGAGAGCCCGAUGAUGACCCUCGCAGCUUCUCGCAGCAGUGGCACGUGCACUGCGCAUACUGCGAGGGCGCAUAUGAACAGAUCGGCUACCCGAAACUGAAGAUCGACAUACACAGGUCCUGGCUCUUCUUCCCAUGGCACAGGUUGUACCUCUAUUUCUACGAGAGGAUCCUUGGUAAUCUCAUCGACGACGACACCUUUGCACUGCCGUUUUGGAACUGGGACGCGCCCCACGGCAUGACCCUCCCGGUGAUGUACACCAGUGAGUCUUCGCCACUCUAUGACUCUAAGCGUAACCCCGUGCACCUGCCACCGGCCAUUGUCAACCUCGACUACAACCACAAAGACUACCACUCCGGGACCGACCACAAGAUCACAACAGAAGACCCGAUCAAUCUGAACCUCAAGCUCAUGUACCGUCAGAUGAUUGCUGGGGCCAAGAAGACUGAGCUAUUCCUGGGGACGUCAUACCGCGCUGGCGAAGAACCGCGAGGCCCAGGUACCAUCGAGUGCGAGCCACACAACACAGUCCACGACUGGACCGGUGAGUCGAAGGAGCCCAGCGAAGACAUGGGCAACUUGUACUCCGCGGCACGCGACCCGGUCUUCUUCGCGCACCACGGCAACGUCGACCGCAUGUGGAAUGUCUGGCGCUGCCUUGGCCACACCGACUUCACCGACACCGACUGGCUUGACAGUAACUUUCUGUUUUACGACGAGGAGGCCCGCCUUGUCCGUGUCCACGUCCGUGACUGCCUCGACACGCUGGCCUUGCGCUACACUUACCAGGACGUCCCUCUGCCAUGGUUGACCGCCAAACCAACCGAGGCAGGAGAUACCAACACUCCGGUUACCCCGACCACAGGGGUUCUCCCGGCUGUCUUGGACGGGAUUGUGCGGGUGGACGUGCCUAGGACCAAGGUCUCCAGGAGCCGCUUCCAGAAGGACGAGGAGGAGGAGGUGCUGAUCGUUGAGGGGAUCGAGAUCGCAGACAGCUCAAAGUACGUCAAGUUCGAUGUGCAUGUGAACGCGCCACAACACGAACAACUCAACGCGGCUCACGCACAGUUUGCUGGGAGCGUGGUGCUCCUGCCGCACAUGUCCGGGCAACACGAGGGCAAGACCAAGAUGUCUGCCAGGUUCGGCAUCUCUGACUUACUGGACUCCAUCCGAGCGGACGGCGACAAGAAAAUCAUCGUCUCGCUUGUGCCGAGAAGCGCGGGUGAGGUGGUCACUGUGGGAGCCGUCCGCAUCGGCUACAUCAAAUGA
rnacentral:rRNA from 1 species